GUCUUUGUAGUAUACUACAUUACCUUGGUCUUGUAAACCAAAAAUGGAGGACAUAGCCCCUCCCUAAGACU
rnacentral:tRNA from 1 species